rnacentral:lncRNA from 1 species
GCAUUAAACAUUAGACCAUUGACGGUAAGCCUGCCAAGUGCAAACUUAAAAUAGCGUCGUAGUUUUAUCCAUUGAAAAGCUUUAUUGUUGUGAGCAUUUAUCAAUUAUGGCCGUUUCAAUUUUCUGUUGUCCUUUUUUUAUCGAUUGCUCAAUCGUAGGAUCUGCGAUAUCCAUGAGACAUGAGUGUCCCGUCCCCCAACAACGUGUUUGAAAAAAAAAAGCAUUCAAUGGUUCUAAAUGUUUGAAACAGCCCAGGACUCCCCUGAAGAGGAGAUGGUUCAAUAACUCAAUAACGUAUCAAUGUUAGUACUAGUAUAUACAAUAUACUACUUCUAAAACUCCAAUGGCAACAAAAAGAUGAAGAAUUUAGCCUUAAAUGUUGGUGUGGAGUUGGAGCUAAUUUGCUGCCAGCCCCUGUUGUGAUGUGUUCAAUGUCAAGUAAUGCAUAUAAAUAGCCGGACCCUGACAAAUUAUUACUCGCACUUGAGAUUUCUUAGAACAGGCUGGCGAGUUCUGAGCUUCUUUGUGUCAGUCCAAUGCAAUAUGUGCAGAUGGGUUUGUUGCAGCCCAGCUGGUGAUAAUAGGUGUUCUUCUUGCUACCUGUACCAGCUGUAAUAUGUUUCAUAUCAUACAAAACACUUCACAGAAUGAACAACACACUUCGGAACAAUGAAAGAUUAGCAGCCUGGUGAAGUCUGAGCUUCUUCGUUACUGCCCAAUGUUCACAUGGAUAUGAUAUAGUCGGCAGGUAAAUGGUGUGCUUCCUGUACUGCUGUAUGUUUAGUCCCAUUAAGAAACAUUUAAGAACCAGUGAAGUAAUUAUUUUAACAAAUUUUCUAAUUGUAUUGCUUGUUCGUAAAGCUUGUUAACUAGAUUCCUUUGUAACAGUUCUAAGAAUAAUUCUGAGAGAAUGUGUAGUUUAGCUAUAUACUUGUCAUUUUUGUGAGCAUCACAUGAGACUUCAUUCCACGAUAGUAAUUGAUUUUUUCAAGUAGGAUUUACAACUAGUUGAAGUCUUAGCUUCACCUUCUUCUUCAUUCCAGUCUAAUUCAGACAUGGAUUUUUUCAGCCAGUCUGUUGAAUUUGACAUGUACAAUUUUCUUAUUGGUUUAUCGUUUAUGUUCGCGUAGUUACUGCCCGAUGUGUCACGU